rnacentral:rRNA from 1 species
AUUGAACGCUGGCGGCAGGCCUAACACAUGCAAGUCGAACGGUAACAGGAAGAAGCUUGCUUCUUUGCUGACGAGUGGCGGACGGGUGAGUAAUGUCUGGGAAACUGCCUGAUGGAGGGGGAUAACUACUGGAAACGGUAGCUAAUACCGCAUAACGUCGCAAGACCAAAAAGGGGGACCUUCGGGCCCCUUGCCAUCGGAUGUGCCCAGAUGGGAUUAGCUAGUAGGUGGGGGAACGGCUCACCUAGGCGACGAUCCCUAGCUGGUCUGAGAGGGUGACCAGCCAGCCUGGAAGUGAGACAGGGUCGACACUCUGACGGGAGGCAGCAGUGGGGAAUAUUGCACGAUGGGGGCAAGCCUGAUGCAGCAAUGCCGCGUGUAUGAAGAAGGCCUUCGGGUUGUAAAGUACUUUCAGCGGGGAGGAAGGGAGUAAAGUUAAUACCUUGGCUCAUUGACGUUACCCGCAGAAGAAGCACCGGCUAACUCCGUG